CCUACGGGUGGCAGCAGUGGGGGAUAUUGGACAAUGGGGGGAACCCUGAUCCAGCGACGCCGCGUGAGUGAUGAAGUAUUUCGGUAUGUAAAGCUCUGUCCUCAGGGAAGAUAGAAAUGACGGUACCUGACCAAGCAGCCCCGGCUAACCUCGGGCCAGCAGCCGCGGUAAGACGUAGGGGGCAAGCGUUAUCCGGAAUUACUGGGUGUAAGGGGAGCGUAGACGGUUUAGUAAGUCUGGAGUGAAAGGCCGGGGCCCAACCCCGGGAAUGCGCUGGAAACUAUUGAACUUGAGUGCAGGAGAGGAAAGUGGAAUUCCUAGUGUAGCGGUGAAAUGCGUAGAUAUUAGGAGGAACACCAGUGGCGAAGGCGGCUUACUGGACUGUAACUGACGUUGAGGCUCGAAAGCGUGGGGAGCAAACAGGAUUAGAUACCCGGGUAGUC
rnacentral:rRNA from 1 species